GCCUUUAUGAAGAGUCCCGAAUAGGAUGAAACGCGCGUUCUGGAU
rnacentral:hammerhead_ribozyme from 1 species